AUUGAACGCUAGCGGGAUGCCUUACACAUGCAAGUCGAACGGAGUGGCGAACGGGUGCGUAAUGUAUCGGAACGUGCCCAGUAGCGGGGGAUAACUACGCGAAAGCGUAGCUAAUACCGCAUACUAUUGGCGCGGCCGAUACCGGAGUAGCUGGUUGGUGGGGGAACGGCGCACCCAGGCGACGAUCCGUAGCUGGUUUGAGAGGACGACCAGCCACACUGGGACUGAGACACGGCCCAGACUCCUACGGGAGGCAGCAGUGGGGAAUGUUGGACAAUGGGGGAAAGCCUGAUCCAGCCAUCCCGCGUGUGCGAUGAAGGCCUUCGGGUUGUAAAGCACUUUUGGCAGGAAAGCGGUACCUGCAGAAUAAGCACCGGCUAACUACGUGCCAGCAGCCGCGGUAAUUC
rnacentral:rRNA from 1 species